ensembl:lncRNA
CAUUUCUGUCCAUCUUGUCCCCUUUGAAGGGCGAUGGACGGGAUAUUUGUCUGGCCGCCGGGUUCUUUCCUGAAGAAAAGACUAUGACUUUGACUGUGAAAGGUAAAGACCCUGUGAGCCUUACAACCAGAGAAGCACCCUUGUUUAAAUCGACCAAAACCUAUUAUUAUGCUGGAUUCAGUGAAGAUGAUAAAGUGCAAACAUGCGAAAUGGAUGGACAAACAGCAGACAAAACUCUUGACACUGCUGACACGACAGAAAACCCCGAAAGAGUGACUGAACAGACUUGUCCAACUAGUCUUAGUGCUGAUGCCUUAGAGUUCAUAAACACUGGUGAUCCAAAAAUGAACUCCAUGAAUCUUCUUGUGACAGGUCUGAGAAUUCUGCUUGCUAAAUGUGUCGCAGUUAAUGCAUUGAUGACUGUGAAGGCAUUCAUAUUUUAAAAGUUCAGUUCAGCCAAAUCAUUGGAAUAAUCAAAAAUUGUAACUUUGCUCAUCAAGGCUGCAUUUAUUUGAUCAAAAAUAUAGGAAACAUUUAAUAUUGUGAAAUAUUAUUAUGAUGUAAAAUACAAUUUUUCUAUUUUAAUAUACAUUAAAAUAUAAUUUAUUUCUGUGAUGCAAAACUGAAUUUUCAGCAUCAUUACUCCAGUCUUCAGUGUCACAUGAUCCUUCAGAAAUCAUUCUAAUAUGCCGAUUUAUUAUCAAUGCUGGAAACUGUUGUGCUACUUAAUAUUUUUUUCAGGAUUCCUUGAUGAAUAAAAAGUUAAAAAGAAGAGCAUUUAUUUAAAAAAUAAAUCUUUUCUAACGAUAUACACUACAGUUCA